rnacentral:rRNA from 1 species
UACAGAGGGUGCUAGCGUUGUUCGGAAUCAUUGGGCGUAAAGGGCGUGUAGGCGGUUUGUUAAGUCAUGUGUGAAAUCCCUCGGCUCAACCGGGGAACGACGCAUGAAACUGGCAAGCUAGAGUACCAAAGAGGGGGGUGGAAUUCCCGGUGUAGCGGUGAAAUGUGUAGAGAUCGGGAGGAACACCGGUGGCGAAGGCGGGUCUCUGGGCAUCUCCUGACGCUGAGGCGCGAAAGCGUGGGGAGCAAACGGG